rnacentral:rRNA from 1 species
ACUGGGCGUAAAGGGCACGCAGGCGGUGACUUAAGUGAGGUGUGAAAGCCCCGGGCUUAACCUGGGAAUUGCAUUUCAUACUGGGUCGCUAGAGUACUUUAGGGAGGGGUAGAAUUCCACGUGUAGCAGUGAAAUGCGUAGAGAUGUGGAGGAAUACCGAUGGCGAAGGCAGCCUCCUGGGAUAACACUGACGUUCAUGCUCGAAAGCGUGGGUAGCAAACAGGAUUAGAUACCCUGGUAGUCCACGCCCUAAACGAUGUCAAUUAGCUGUUGGGCAACUUGAUUGCUUAGUAGCGUAGCUAACGCGUGAAAUUGACCGCCUGGGGAGUACGGUCGCAAGAUUAAAACUCAAAGGAAUUGACGGGGACCCGCACAAGCGGUGGAUGAUGUGAAUUAAUUCAAUGCAACGCGAAGAACCUUACCUGGUCUUGACAUGUACGGAAUCCUCCAGAGACGGAGGAGUGCCUUCGGGAGCCGUAACACAGGUGCUGCAUGGCUGUCGUCAGCUCGUGUCGUGAGAAG